GGCAUGGGUGAACUUGGUGUUAGAUGUGUGCCCUAGAUGCUAGAUCAGUUGACACAUUCCUGUACAGAUCUAAGGGCAAAUUUAUAAUUUUGACUAUAAAUGAAUAAAAGGGUUAUUCUUCUAUCACAUUGUGUAUAUUAUGUCUGUGAUACAUCUUUUGAGUUAGUAGGAAUGUAAAUUCAUAUUUUCAAGAGUUGAAAAUUUAAGGCAUGAAUUUAUAUAACUAACUCCUAAAUAGCUCCUGACCAUAGGAUC
rnacentral:lncRNA from 1 species